UAUACGCAGUGAUUUCCUGAAGUAUUCGGCCCCUAGGUAUUUCACACAAUUGAAUUUAUUUAUGCCACUUCAAAUAUAAAAAGUAAAUCAGGCUUCUCAAUAUAAACA